UACGUAGGGGGCAAGCGUUGUCCGGAUUUAUUGGGCGUAAAGAGCGUGUAGGCGGUCAGGUAGGUCCGUUGUGAAAACUCGAGGCUCAACCUCGAGACGCCGAUGGAAACCAUCUGACUAGAGUCCGGAAGAGGAGAGUGGAAUUCCUGGUGUAGCGGUGAAAUGCGCAGAUAUCAGGAGGAACACCGGUGGCGAAGGCGGCGACCUGGUCCUUGACUGACGCUGAGGCGCGAAAGCGUGGGGAGCAAACAGG
rnacentral:rRNA from 1 species